rnacentral:rRNA from 1 species
UACGUAGGGUGCGAGCGUUAAUCGGAAUUACUGGGCGUAAAGCGUGCGCAGGCGGUUGUGCAAGACCGAUGUGAAAUCCCCGGGCUUAACCCUGGGAACUGGCAUUGGUGACUGCACGGCUAGAGUGUGUCAGAGGGGGGUAGAAUUCCACGUGUAGCAGUGAAAUGCGUAGAGAUGUGGAGGAAUACCGAUGGCGAAGGCAGCCCCCUGGGAUAACGACUGACGCUCAGUGCACGAAAGCGUGGGGAG